rnacentral:rRNA from 1 species
GUAACGGCGAGUGAAGCGGCAAAAGCUCAAAUUUGAAAUCUGGUACCUUCGGUGCCCGAGUUGUAAUUUGGAGAGGGCAACUUUGGGGCCGUUCCUUGUCUAUGUUCCUUGGAACAGGACGUCAUAGAGGGUGAGAAUCCCGUGUGGCGAGGAGUGCGGUUCUUUGUAAAGUGCCUUCGAAGAGUCGAGUUGUUUGGGAAUGCAGCUCUAAGUGGGUGGUAAAUUCCAUCUAAAGCUAAAUAUUGGCGAGAGACCGAUAGCGAACAAGUACAGUGAUGGAAAGAUGAAAAGAACUUUGAAAAGAGAGUGAAAAAGUACGUGAAAUUGUUGAAAGGGAAGGGCAUUUGAUCAGACAUGGUGUUUUGUGCCCUCUGCUCCUUGUGGGUAGGGGAAUCUCGCAUUUCACUGGGCCAGCAUCAGUUUUGGUGGCAGGAUAAAUCCAUAGGAAUGUAGCUUGCCUCGGUAAGUAUUAUAGCCUGUGGGAAUACUGCCAGCUGGGACUGAGGACUGCGACGUAAGUCAAGGAUGCUGGCAUAAUGGUUAUAUGCCGCCCGUCUUGAAACAC